AUUGAACGCUGGCGGCAUGCCUUACACAUGCAAGUCGAACGGUAACAGGUCUUCGGAUGCUGACGAGUGGCGUACGGGUGAGUAAUACAUCGGAACGUGCCCGAGAGUGGGGGAUAACGAGGCGAAAGCUUUGCUAAUACCGCAUACGAUCUCAGGAUGAAAGCAGGGGACCGCAAGGCCUUGCGCUCACGGAGCGGCCGAUGGCAGAUUAGGUAGUUGGUGGGAUAAAAGCUUACCAAGCCGACGAUCUGUAGCUGGUCUGAGAGGACGACCAGCCACACUGGGACUGAGACACGGCCCAGACUCCUACGGGAGGCAGCAGUGGGGAAUUUUGGACAAUGGGCGCAAGCCUGAUCCAGCCAUGCCGCGUGCAGGAUGAAGGCCUUCGGGUUGUAAACUGCUUUUGUACGGAACGAAAAGACUCUGGUUAAUACCUGGGGUCCAUGACGGUACCGUAAGAAUAAGCACCGGCUAACUACGUGCCAGCAGCCGCGGUAAAAC
rnacentral:rRNA from 1 species